AGUGAACGCUUGCGGUAGGCCUAACACAUGCAAGUCGAACGGCAGCACAGUAAGAGCUUGCUCUUACGGGUGGCGAGUGGCGGACGGGUGAGGAAUACAUCGGAAUCUACUUUUUCGUGGGGGAUAACGUAGGGAAACUUACGCUAAUACCGCAUACGACCUACGGGUGAAAGCAGGGGAUCUUCGGACCUUGCGCGAUUGAAUGAGCCGAUAUCGGAUUAGCUAGUUGGCGGGGUAAAGGCCCACCAAGGCGACGAUCCGUAGCUGGUCUGAGAGGAUGAUCAGCCACACUGGAACUGAGACACGGUCCAGACUCCUACGGGAGGCAGCAGUGGGGAAUAUUGGACAAUGGGCGCAAGCCUGAUCCAGCCAUACCGCGUGGGUGAAGAAGGCCUUCGGGUUGUAAAGCCCUUUUGUUGGGAAAGAAAAGCAGCAGGUUAAUACCCCGCUGUUCUGACGGUACCCAAAGAAUAAGCACCGGCUAACUUCGUG
rnacentral:rRNA from 1 species